GACGUAGGGCGCGAGCGUUGUCCGGAUUUAUUGGGCGUAAAGAGCUCGUAGGCGGCUUGUUGCGUCGACUGUGAAAACCCGCGGCUUAACUGCGGGCUUGCAGUUGAUACGGGCAGGCUAGAGUUCGGUAGGGGAGACUGGAAUUCCUGGUGUAGCGGUGAAAUGCGCAGAUAUCAGGAGGAACACCGGUGGCGAAGGCGGCGCUCUGGACCGAGACUGACGCUGAGGCGCGAAAGCGUGGGGAGCAAACAGG
rnacentral:rRNA from 1 species